rnacentral:pre_miRNA from 1 species
GUGCUACUCCCUCCGUCCAAAAAUACUUGUCAUCAAAAUGGAUAAAAAGAGAUGUAUCUAGAACUAAAAUAUGUCUAGAUACAUCCCCUUUUAUCCAUUUUGAUGACAAGUAUUUCCGGACGGAGGGAGUAUUAG